AUAAUAACUAUUUUUCCUCUCAUGUACAAACAAUCAUAAGGAAACUUAUGCAAGAAAAACAAAGAAUUGGCUGAGAAAAAUCUAUUGCUUUCUAGAUGAGAUGCCACAUACAAUAUCCUACCCUGUGUUGACCAUAACGUACCGCUUGUUACUUUCUUAGUGAGUGACAAUAGCAAAUCUGAAAACACCCUCUCUGAGAAAAAGCCCCAACUGCUUUUAACUUAAGAAUGUUUUGAGCUGUUACUGUUGAACACUCAUGUGCAUCGGAUUGUAAUAUGGGAUGUCUCCGCUGCAAGAAAUUAAUGUUCUCAUGUUCAAUUUCAAGCUGCCAGCACAGUUCACAUCAUGGAAAAGCCACGGUUGGAAUAAAGAACACAGUUAUCUAGAAAUGAGUCUUUGACACCGCUGCUCAGUUCCCUGCGAUAAUUUUUGACUUGGAUGAAUGCAGCAAAACAGAGGAUUGUGUCUUGUUGGGCCAUCAAAAAAGAAAUCUGCAAUAUUAAAAGAAAACCUGAAAGUGACCACCCAUUUGUUAAGUUGACCUGUCAAGGAAUGCAUUCUAAUCCGAGGACAUACUCUUAUGCCCUCAUUAAUCCCCCUGCUCCAGAAUGAUUCACAGGAACACUCAAAUUCAGUUGGUUUCAUGUGUUCCAAGUUAACUUUCGCUAAAGUGGGCGUCAUCCUUGAACUUGUCAUCUGCUGAGGUAUUGAGUUCCCUGCUUCACUCAGUGACACGAUCUGAGGAAUGUGGCCACUUGCCAUUUCUGUCUCAACUUUGAGCACAUGUCUCUGCAUCUCAUGUUCAGCUUUAAGAUCAUCUCAAUCACAAAUGACCCAACAUCAUUAAGGGAGCUACCGAAGUCAUACAUGAAAACACUGUUUAUGUCUGAAAAUACAGUGUUAUGAAUGGAACCUUCCUCACGUGGUGGAAGGAGUGAACUGACUCAUGUAAGUUGUCCUCUGACCUUACAAGGGCAUGUGUGGCAUGUGUGUGCCUGUUUAUGUAUGUG
rnacentral:lncRNA from 1 species